rnacentral:rRNA from 1 species
UACGGAGGGUGCAAGCGUUAUCCGGAUUCACUGGGUUUAAAGGGUGCGUAGGCGGAUAUGUAAGUCCGUGGUGAAAUCUCUGGGCUUAACCCGGAAACUGCCAUGGAUACUAUGUGUCUUGAAUAUUGUGGAGGUGAGCGGAAUAUGUCAUGUAGCGGUGAAAUGCUUAGAUAUGACAUAGAACACCAAUUGCGAAGGCAGCUCGCUACACAUAUAUUGACUCUGAGGCACGAAAGCGUGGGGAUCAAACAGG